rnacentral:rRNA from 1 species
CCCUUAGAUGUUCUGGGCUGCACGCGUGCUACACUGAUAUUGCCAAUAUGUCAUUCUUAUCCGAAAUGGAUUGGGUAAUCAAGUAAUGAAAUUUCAUGCUUGGAAUCGGUAAUUGCAAUUUUAUCGUGAACGAGGAAUUCCUAGUAAGCACUAGUCAUCAGCUAAUGUUGAUUAUGUCCCUGCCCUUUGUACACACCGCCCGUCGCUACUACUGAUUGGGUGUUCAAGUGAGAUGCUUAGACCCUUGUUGCAUGGUUCAUUAUUGUGCUCCGAAAGGAAAAAGUUUCAAGCUUGAGUGUCUAGCGGAAGUAAAAGUCGUAACA